AGGGAAAAGCUCAAAUUUAAAAUCUGGCAGCUUUGGUUGUCCGAGUUGUAAUCUGGAGAAGUGUUUUCAGUGCAGGACCGUGUACAAGUCUCUUGGAAUGGAGCAUCAUAGAGGGUGAGAAUCCCGUCUUUGACAUGGACUACCUGUGCUUUGUGAUACACUCUCAAA
rnacentral:rRNA from 1 species